UGAUUUUGUCUGAAGUCAAACUUUCUUAAGUUUGAUCAAAUUUAUAUAAAAGAUUAUCAAUUUUUAUGAUACCAAAUAAACAUAUUAUAAAAAUAUAUUUCAUCAUGAAUCUAAUGAUACUUAUUUGGUUUUAUAAAAAAUAGUAAUUUUUUAUAUAAAUUUGGUCAAACUUAGAAAAGUUUGACUUCAGACAAAACCAA
rnacentral:pre_miRNA from 1 species